UCUUCAGGUCACAAACUCCAUCAGGGAAAUUUUCAGAUGAAGAAACAGGAAGUGGAACUGAGCGAAGUCCAAUUUUAUUUGUUAAUAAGGAAGAGGUUGAAAGCAAUGGUUAAAAUUGGAUUUUUAAACUAUCAGUGGAUGCAAUUUAUUCCAUCAUGCUGGUUCCCUGUUUGCCUUCUGUUUAUUACAGGAAGAAACAUUGUGCAUUGAACUUGAAAGCUGAGACACAGGACUCCAGCUUACUCAACAAAACCUGGUACAAAGAAGACUCUCAGGAAAUGUUGGCUGAAUGACAGAAUGAAGAUCGAUAGAUGAAGACUUCUCCUAAUAACUGAUGCUAGACAUCUCUAAAUGUAAAUCAGCAUUAAUUAAAGUAUCAUCUUAAUUUCAUCUAAUUGAAAACAUAGACUUGCAUAUAUGUUAAGUCAUUUUAGAAAGAAAUGUUAGAAUGUUAAGUCUUAAAAAUGGUAAUUCUAACAAUAGUCUAGAUAUAGCUAAUUUGUUCUAAAAUAUUCUUAGUAAUUAUGUAGUUGAUUUUGAAUAAAAAUUGAUUUUGAAUUUUUAUUUCUAAAUGUCUUCAGUAGUGCCUGCAUGCUGCUGAAAAUGAAGACAUUUCUUUGUGCUUUUAUGGUAUUUUAAAUUUAAAGGUACAUUCAUUCUUUAAUGACUUUGGAGAUAACUUUUGUAAUCAUUGGGGUAGUCAUUGUAUCUGAAGGUUUUAUUUUUCUCUUUCUGCUGCUGAAACUAGAAUGCACCCUUGAGUUCACACUGUUUCUGAAAUGAUACUUUUGUUCUUGUCCAGAUAUCAGAAAUAACAUGUGACCAUUACAUCAUACGUAAUUUUUCCAUCAAAACAUUUGAAAAUAACUUGGAUUCAUUUAUUAGACUUUUAUUUUCUCAAAUCUUGCAGUACUCCAGAGUUUUACAGUAAUUAACCUUAUGCUGAAUGGCAGAGGACAUGCACUAAGCUCUUAUUUAAAAUCUAUUCAUGAUGCAUUUUAAAUAUUCAGCAGAGACUUCUUAAACAUGCAGCCAUAGUUUAUUCAAAAUGGAUUUCCUAAAACCAGGAGAUUGGAUAUUAAUAUCAGGCAUUUGCAGAAAGACAGGUUUUGUUAACCUAUUAUAAAAAGGAUUGAUGAUGUGAUUAUACAUUGUUUACUAGCCCACUUACAUUUCUCUGUGCUAAUAAUUACUAUAAACCAUUUAUUUAGUUUUUUAUUUAUUUUCAUUAAGCAUUUAAAAAAUUUUUUAAUCUUAGCUUAUGUUUGAUUUAUGUUUUUGAUUGAAUCAAGGUUGUUUAUUAAUAUGGAAACUGCUGUCAUUUCAGUUUUAUCUUUCCAAAGUAAAAUUUAUAAAAAAUGUAUUAAAAAAGAAGUUCUGAAACUCCUGAAAUUAGAUGUUUAAGGGGAUUAGUACCUUUGUGCCUGUGGUGUUAUAGCCAUUCUUAUUUUAACAUUUUGUGGAAAUUUCGGCACCCCAGAGAUAUUUGGCAAUGUUGGGAGACAUUUUGGUUAAUACAACUGGAGGGUGUGAAUGCAUUUAGUGAGUAGAAGCCAGGGAUAUAUUAACCACCUUAUAACACAGAACAUCUCUCUACAACAAAGAAUUAUCUUGCCUAAAAUGUAAAUAGUGCUGAGAUCAUGAAACACAAGUUUAGACAAAUUAAAUUUUAAAAUUUUAGUGUACUCUUGAAAUUAUAGAUGAAUGAGUGCUUUCUUAAUAUACUUAAAGUUUUUCAAAAAGAGCUAAGUAUUUAAAAAUGUCUUCUUGGCCGGACACAGUGGCUUAUGACUGUAAUCCCAGCACUCUGGGAGGCUGAGGUGGGAGGAUUAUUUGAGUUCAGGAUUUGAGACCAGCCUGGCCAAAAUGGUAUCUACUAAAAAUACAAAAAUUAUCUGACUUUGGUGGUGAACACCCGUAAUCCCAAUUAGUUGAGAAACUGGGGCAGGAUAAUUGCUUAGCCUGGGAGACAGAGGUUGCAGUGAGCCAAGACUGAGCCACUGUACUCCAGCCUGGGCAACAGAGUGAGACACGGUCUCAAAACAAACAAACAAAAAAACAAAGAACAAACAAGACAAAAAACAGUCUUCUAAGAGGAAAACCUGAGCAGUAGGGCUAAUAAGAAAUGAAGUCAUGAGUAAUUGAGAAGAGAUUUCACAGGCCUUUGUAGAAUAUUCUUAAAAAAUGGCUUUUAUUUUGAAUGAAAUGAGAUAUCAUUAUAUACUAUAGAGUAAAGGAAAAGCAUAGUCCAGUUUAUAUGUAACAGGAUCCUUACUGUGGCAGGCAGAAUUCUAAAGAUGUUCCCUGAAAUUCCCUUACCUUGGUUAGUCAAUAAAACAUGAAUCUAGUUACUGCUGUGAAGGAGUUUUGCAAAGGUAACAGGACUUAAGAUAGUGAGAUCAUGGAUUAUCUAGAUAGAUCCAUUGCAGUCACUUCAGCCCUUGACAGUAGAGACAUUUCUCUUCCUGGGGUCCAUCAGAGAGAUGCGGCAGAAGGAGGCAGAGGAAGGAUAAAAAGUGUGAGAAAAAUACCACCCUCCCUUGCUGGCUUUGAUUAUCAAAGAAGGAGGGAUAAGCCAAGUAAGGUGGAAAACUUUUAGUUAUAUCCAACUGAAAGCCAGCAAGAAGACUGGGAACCUCAGACUUCUGUUGCAUGGAACUGAAUUCUUCCAACAACCUGGAUGAUCUUGAAAUAUUUUCUCCGAGAGUCUCCAAAAAAAAAAAUGCAAUCUACUGACAUCUUGAUUUUGACCUAAACAGAGAACCAGCUGAGCCAUAUUGUUCUGGACUUCUGACAUGAAAAUUGUGAGAUCAUAAAUAGUUUCUGUCUUAAGCCACAGAUUUUAUGAUCGUCAUUUCAGCUGCAAUAGGAAACUAACACAGUUGCUGUGCUGAGAAUUAUAGACUCUGGAAAAGUAGGAAUUAUUGACUCUGGUAGAAAUAGAAAACCUAGCUGAGAAGUUUAUCAAUAAACUGUACACAAUAUGAUGGUGGACUCAAGGUGUUGGUGAUGGAAAUAAUAAACAUUGAGUGAAUUCUGGAUAUAUUUUGAAGGUAGAGCCAAUAGGAUGUCCUAAUGGAUUGGAGGGGUGAUGGAAAGGAAACAGAACACAAAGGAAGACUGAAUGAAGACUCUGUCUGAGUGCUUGGAAGGACAGAACAGCCAUGAAUAAACUGGACAAGACUGAGCAGAUUUUGAGGAAAAGAUCAAGAUAUUGGUUAUGGACAUGUUCAGUUCUUGUUAAUCAUUCAAUUGGAGAUAUUGAGUAGGCAGUUGAAAAUGGGUCCAGGAGGAAGUUCUUGACUGAAGUUGUAUUAUUGGCAGUAUAUAACUGGUAUAUUAAGCCUACAUACAUCCAAGGAAGUAGGUAUAAAUAAAUAUAAAGAGAGGUCUACGGAAUGAACUUCAAAAUUUAGAGGUCAGGGAGGCAGCAAGGAACCAGACGAAACCACUGUGCUGAGACAAAUAAUAUAGCUCGUGAAGAUAGUUUUGUGAUAAUUAGAGAAACAUUUGUAAAUAGUUUAAAUUUUUUGCUCUAAAAAUUCUUAUAUAGGUUUGAAACAAAUAGAAACAUAUUCAAUAAUAGCUAGUGAGACUCAUCUAUUCCCAAAGUAGACAAA